rnacentral:rRNA from 1 species
UGAACGCUGGCGGCAGGCUAACAACGCAAGUCGAACGGUAACAUUUCUAGCUUGCUAGAAGAUGACGAGUGGCGGACGGGUGAGUAAUGCUUGGGAACUUGCCUUUGCGAGGGGGAUAACAGUUGGAAACGACUGCUAAUACCGCAUAAUGUCUUCGGACCAAACGGGGCUUCGGCUCCGGCGCAAAGAGAGGCCCAAGUGAGAUUAGCUAGUUGGUAAGGUAACGCCUUACCAAGGCGACGAUCUCUAGCUGUUCUGAGAGGAAGAUCAGCCACACUGGGACUGAGACACGGCCCAGACUCCUACGGGAGGCAGCAGUGGGGAAUAUUGCACAAUGGGGGAAACCCUGAUGCAGCCAUGCCGCGUGUGUGAAGAAGGCCUUCGGGUUGUAAAGCACUUUCAGUUGUGAGGAAAAGUUAGUAGUUAAUACCUGCUAGCCGUGACGUUAACAACAGAAGAAGCACCGGCUAACUCCGUGCCAGCAGCCGCGGUAAUACGGAGGGUGCGAGCGUUAAUCGGAAUUACUGGGCGUAAAGCGCACGCAGGCGGUUUGUUAAGCUAGAUGUGAAAGCCCCGGGCUCAACCCGGGAUGGUCAUUUA